AUAUUAACCUCUCCUAUUACGUGUAUUUUAUUUGUUCUCUUGCGUUUACAUUAAUAAUGAUUCCGCAAUUAAUUUAACUUGACCUUUUUCUAUAAUGGGCAAUUGACAUAACGUUCUCAUUUCACCUUCAGAUAAAUACGACAUUUGAAUAACGCGGUAUUAACAUGGCGCAUGUCACAUGACAGCCGACCAAUUAGAGGAAAGAACACCGUCACGAUCUGCAUCACGGCAUGGGACAUUUUGCACAAUUUUUUAUCGUCAUCUCCCUAUCUUUUUGCAGGCAUCUUGCACAUUUCCUGUUCACUGGGUAUAUUCAUCGUACACAAUAAAAAUCUGCUUAACCAUUUGAGUGCGAUCGCGCUGUUCAAAUUUUAUAAAAAGUACCACUGCAUGUGAGCUACGAAUGUGAGACGCGAUCACGCCACUUGGUAUUUUUCAUUGUCAGCAUAAAUCGAAACAAGCGCGAUCGCACUGCGUGGCAUUUUUCGAUAAAAUUUUUUCAAUGAUCCGUGAUAUUCAAACGGUUAAUUUCCAAAAAGGAUUUUCCACUAUAAUGUAUCAUUAAACAGAAAUAAUUUUUCUCAUAUAUUACUUCUUCGCUGAUACAAACGCGAGAAAACAUGGAGAUCCACGGACAAUCAGGAGAAAUCAUAGACAAACAGAAUGUGGACUUAUCUGAAAAGAGACAAAGGUAUGCUACCUGUCGGGUAAAACUUACCAAGAAGUUGGAAAAAUCGGCCCUAAAGGAAUUAACAUUUUCUUCUAUCACAAUAUUUACAAUCAAAUCAGGGACUUGUUAAACAAAUAAGAAUGAGCGUUUUUGUAAAAUCGAGUAUUCUUUCAUCGAAGAAAGCAGCAUCACUAAUAAUCGAUGCGCAGAAACAAAAUGCAAGAUAUAAAGAUUCGUACCCGCUAAAGUAUUACAAUGUAUAAUAGACUUUAUCUGUCUCAACAUCGAAACAUAAAAAA